GUCCACACUGUAAACGAUGGACACUAGGUAUAGGGAGUAUCGACCCUCUCUGUGCCAAAGCUAACGCGUUAAGUGUCCCGUCUGGGGAGUACGGCCGCAAGGCUAAAACUCAAAGGAAUUGACGGGGCCCGCACAAGCAGCGGAGCGUGUGGUUUAAUUCGAUGCAAAGCGAAGAACCUUACCAAGGUUUGACAUGACGGAAGUAGCGACUGGAAACAGAAGCCAACUGUUAAAUCAGUAACCGCCACAGGUGCUGCAUGGCUGUCGU
rnacentral:rRNA from 1 species